rnacentral:rRNA from 1 species
UCCGGAGGGUGCGAGCGUUGUCCGGAAUCACUGGGCGUAAAGGGCGCGUAGGCGGCGCGGGAAGUCAUCGGUGAAAGUUCAGGGCUCAACUCUGAAUCGGCCGGUGAUACUCUCGUGCUUGAGCACUGUAGAGGCAGGUGGAAUUCCGGGUGUAGCGGUGGAAUGCGUAGAGAUCCGGAAGAACACCGGUGGCGAAGGCGGCCUGCUGGGCAGUAGCUGACGCUGAUGCGCGACAGCGUGGGGAGCAAACAGG